UCAAUAACAGCUUCUCAGUAACAGCGUAUUAAUCGUACAGCAAUGCCCAAAUAAGAUCAAUAUAAACCCACAUAAACAAACAGAUUCUAACUAAUUUGCGACGCACACCAUUACCGUAAUGACGUUGGUGUGGCUAUCCGGGAUGCUUGGCUUGUGGUGAUGUUGCUGUUAGGAUUCGCUUUUGUCGGUGCAAAUGAAAGGGGAUCCGGCCAUGUCGAGACGAUCGUUCCCAAAUCUUGAAUGAUAACCUGUGCACAGAUCAACAACAAAGACAACUGAAACUGAAAAUAGACUCCUUGGAUUCGAAAAUCAUAAAACAGAUUUGAGUUGAAGAUAUUGCGUGGUUAUUGCUGCGAGAGAGAUUUGAGAUGGCUGUUCAGUGACGGUGUCGGCGGUGUUUGUUU
rnacentral:lncRNA from 1 species